GAAGCGCGAAAUGUAGUGUGAAUCGCAGAACUUUGUGAAUCAUCGAAUCUUUGAACGCACAUUGCGCCUCCUCGACGAGGCAUGCCUGUCUGAGCGUCGUUUAAACCGAAAUGGAGCCCCCCCUGGGGUUUCGUGCUGGGCCGUCGCCCUAGGAGCGUCGCCUCAAAGACAUCGGUCUCGCCGAGCGGAUGAGUUCCUCUAGGACCGACCGCGCGACGGGCCGCGACUCUCUCGAUCUCGACCUCAGAUCAGGUAGGACCACCGCCUGAACUUAA
rnacentral:misc_RNA from 1 species